CUCGAGAAGGCCCGCUCUCCUGGAGACAGACAGGGUCACCUCCGGACCACCAGAGACCCCCUCCUCCUUGAGAGAGAGUACACCAGCGCGCUGAUGAGGCGACGCGACCCUUGACCUGCAGACUGCAGGGACGGAACAGUCGUGAUAUUCCUCACGAUUUUUCUAUUAGGAAAUAGAAUGGAUAGAUUUUUAUAGACUGAGUUUUUCAUGUUUGUUGUAUGCUAGAUGUGGGCCUUAUCGUCCUGCAAAUUUUUACUCUUCAAUGAAAUUUUUUUUCUAACAUUCCAUUUCAUUCUCUUAACUCAUCAUGUUUACAGAUUUUUAUAAGGAAGCAGAAAAAUUAAUCAGAGGACGGGGAAGUAGAGAAAAUUUUGAAUAAAACGCUGAUGAACUGAGAUGUUUUCGAUCAAGUCCUAAAUUUAAGUAGCCUGGCAAGCCAGACCCAUAUCGGAAAGAUAAAAUUUGCUGCCGCUCAGGGCGACUAGAUUUCUAGGCUAACAUUUAAGCACCGCGGAUAGCGACUCCAAACACAUGCAUGUAGUCCCCAGAUAGUGUCGCUAUUUGACAUGAUACCUAGGAUGUUUAUGAACCGAGGCGCUUUUGGCUUCAACAGAGGUAAUCAUCGUUUUGUUGAUAAUUUAACCUGAAUAAUGAUAUGGGGCCAAUUGGUCUGUCAGUUAGCAUUGCUGCGCUUUAAACUGUACUCCUUAAAACUGAGGUUUUGGAGUUUAACACGCGGCUGCGCACGAGGUUGAACAUGAUUGCUGUGCGACGACUCGUACUGGAACAGCUGAUUCCUAGCUGACUCGGUUUAAACUGCUUGGAAACCGGAAGUACUCUGAUUUCUAGUAUACCCCAGCAGAUGCAGUCUUAACUUAAUGGUGGAUGCAUUUUGUGCUAUAAUUACCAACAAAAACUUAAUGGGAAUGUAAAGUAACCUUUAAUAUAAUAAAACUAUAAUGAAUAAAAACGCUAAUAAUGUUGACAUAUAUUAUGAAAUAGUCUACUCUAGGCUACUUUUUGUGUAAAUCUGAGUCUAGAAUAUACCCUACCCCGAGUCUAAAUGCCCUAAAUGUACCCUCACCUACGUCAAUCAAUUACAACAUAAGAAAAAAAGAAAAUGAAAAAGAAUAUAUAUCUAAAAAAUAUGAUAUAGAUAAAAUAAUCUCCCCAAAAGUACUAUAAAAUAAUAAAUUCGGAGCUUUAUUUCAUUUUUUGUCGACCCUGGCUUGCCUCUUCCGGCUGAGUUC
ensembl:lncRNA